AACGCUGGCGGCAGGCCUAACACAUGCAAGUCGAGCGAGACCUUCGGGUCUAGCGGCGGACGGGUGAGUAACGCGUGGGAAUAUGCCCUUUGGUACGGAAUAGCCUCGGGAAACUGAGAGUAAUACCGUAUGUGCCCUUCGGGGGAAAGAUUUAUCGCCAAAGGAUUUAGCCCGCGUUGGAUUAGGUAGUUGGUGGGGUAAUGGCCUACCAAGCCUACGAUCCAUAGCUGGUUUGAGAGGAUGAUCAGCCACACUGGGACUGAGACACGGCCCAGACUCC
rnacentral:rRNA from 1 species